rnacentral:snoRNA from 1 species
UGAAGUGAUGUUCGACUAUUUUWUAGUUGGAAUUACCGUCUGAAACUUCUGUAGACAUAAAUUGGCUGUUUUACUGAUC